AUUAGGUUGUGUAUUAACUGUAGAUAACAGUACGAUGUGUUAUGAUGUGAUUUUCUAAUCAAAAGAACCAUCUUAUAAAUGAUAGGUCGUUGAAUUAAAGGUAGAACUAAGUUGUGUAAACAGCAGACCAGGAAAGUUUCCUAUACUUCCUCCAACUAUUAUUGCGCAAGUAUCUUUACCUUUGCAUUUUCUUUAUGCAAUGGACA
rnacentral:lncRNA from 1 species